rnacentral:lncRNA from 1 species
GACAACGUAUCUUGAAACCACAAAAAAAAAACAAAAAACCAUAAGUGGUAGACUCUCCUUUGACUUCAAAUGGCAAACCCUAAUUUCUAAAUCACACACAAAAACAAAAUCACGUUGCUGACAAAAAAUUUGGUCCUCUACUGCGCUGCUUGCCGACAACAAAUUGCUACUCUUCGUCUUCGUCUUCGUCUUCGUCUUUGUUAAGGAAGCUCAUUUGAGCAAAAUGGUCAGCAAAGCAGAGGAUUGUAACAGUUGCAGUUCACAGUUACAAGUUGAUGACUUGGGAUGCCAGCUGGCACCUGGUGGUUAUAUAGUUUCUUGUACACGUGAAUAUUAGUUUUAGUUUUGUUAUAGUAGCUAUUAAGUAUGUUUAGCAUGUUUAGUUAGCUAAGCAAAAUUAGUUGUGUACAGUUUCUUUUGUAAUUUUUGAUGAAUGAAGUAGAAAACAAAUUUCCAGAAUCUUCUUAUUUUCUCUCAAUAUUUUCUUAGUUUCCAAACGUCUUGAUUCUUAUAUGUCUUCAUCCUUACUCUUCGAUCUGCUGCUGCUACUACUUGCCGAUGAACAACACGCACAAGUUCAGCUAGGUCUUUACUUCCUCUUUUUCUUAUAUUAUAUUCUUUUGAUUUGAUUUGAUUUUUCUGUGAUCUAUACGCCAUUUAUUUUGAUCGAUCUGAUUGCUAUUCUAUGAUGUUGUUUAUUUUUUGGUGAACCACUAGCUUUCAAUUGAUUUUGAUUUAUUUGCUAGAUCUAGGGUUUUGUAUUGGCUUAUUAGUUUAGUAGUUAUGUAUCGACAUGUUUUUUCCUUUAAUUUUGAUUUUUUUUACUUCUCUCAUUCUAAUUUAGAUAAUUUUAGGGUUAUGCUUGAAUUAAUUAUUCUUUUAAUCAACUUAGGGUUGGAUUUAAUUGAUUCUAAGUCUCAUCUCUGUUCCCAUUCAAAAAAUAAGUACGCACAAAUAGUUUUCAUUUUAUUCUCAGUCAUUGCCAUGUGAUAAUUUUGUUUCUUUGAAUUAAUUUAUUUAAUCUUCGGUUAAUACACUUCUCUUUGAAUUAAUUUUGUUUGUUUGAAUUAAUCAUGGCCAUGUGAUGGAGUUCAUUUAUCAUUGGGAAGAAAAAAGUAGAUGAGAAGGAAUAUCAUGUUCAAGAGAUUAAGGACAACAUGCUGGACUAAUUAUCGAUUAUUUUAAAAUUAUGUUUUGGCUUAAACUACCCAUGUCACUAGCAUUAUUUCAAAAUCUGAAUAACCUCAUCUCUUUCUCAGACUGAAAGGCUAGCAUAGCAUUGGGCUGUUGCCUUUACUGAUUGAGAAGUGAAGUUCUAAACAGUGGCUCUAUACUGGAAACUUGGUUUCAUCUGCGUUAAUACUUUUGGUAAUUUCAGAACAAGAACUGGAAUCUAAAUAAGUAGUAGAAAUUUUUUUAUGUAAUUCUCAAGAUUUUUGAUAUCCUGAAUUUAUGGAUUAGUUAGAUAUCUAAUUUCUUCACUUUUUAAAGUGGAAAUUACUAGUUGCUUGAUGAGUAUGAUAAGUUUACUGCAAAAUACUUGUCUAGGACGCCCUCUGCUAUGAUGGGCUCUAAUGUGUUGAUUUCUCUGAUUUCUGCCCUGGAAGAAACUUUCCAUUUCUCUAAUUUAUGUUGUUUUUUUUUUAACCAUUGUUGCUAUUUUAACUGCUAGCUUUUUUUUUUAUUGAAUUUAACUGCUGUUGGUUUUUUUUAUGGGUU